UCGAGCGUUCGGGCUGAGCAGGCCAUCGACCGAACGAACCCCACCCACGUCUUUCACCGCUCUCUCCUCCCCACUCAUCUCAUCCCUGCUCUCAGUCCUCUUUUUACUCUGAGUGAUUGCAACGGCGGGAGUGGGGGCUGAUCCUCAGGGGAGCUGCUCGCACCGGUGAGGGCGUUGGGUGCAGCAGCGACGGGUGCUGCGCUGACGGCGAUGGCGCGACGCGAAGGACCCGAUGCGGCAACGGCUAUCGCGGCUGGAACACCGAGGAAGGGGGCGUCGGCGACCAAGUUCGCCCUGCUGGAUGCGGCCACUACGAGCCUGCCUGCACCCCUCCCCCCACGCGCUCCCAAGGUGAUGUUCGUCGUCUCCCGCGCCUCCUGCCGCUCGCACCCCAUCUCCCAUGCGCCAUCACCGGCCCAUGUCAGGGGAGGCGAGUGUCUCGCCGGCCCAGGCGACGGCACCGUUCCGCGAGGCUUGGCGACCAAGGAUGCACGCCUCCUCGGCCGGCGGCCGGCCGACCACAUCCACCGCCCACCUGAAGCCGGCGGCUCACAACCACGCCGAUCCAUUCUGGCUUUGCGGACCUCGCUUCCGCCUUCUGCGGCAUCGCCCAGGGCCAGGCCGGCUCCCGGCGUGUCUUCCUCUGCCUCAUCGCCGCCUCCCUACGCUUGCCCGCGACAUCCCCCCCCUACUCGGGAUCCUCUUUUUUGCUGUGCAUUUUGUUGUCUGAAUUUUUCCGUCUUCAGAUAGCACAUGGCAAUUUAUAUUCAGAUGAUAUGGCUACUUCAUAUUAGGGAGAAAUUUUAGAGUGGAGAGCAUACCAAAUUGGUAAUGUUAAUAUCCACAUGGCGACGGUAAUGUUAAUAUCCACAUGGUGACAUACCAAAUUGAUGCUGGAACCGUAUGCAUUGGUAAUGUUAAUUGCCAUGGCAAAAAUACUUUAUAAUAAAGUUGCCAUCAGUUUUUUAUUCAAUAAAUGAUGGACAUGGCAACUAUGCAUUAUUCUCUAGGAAGUUCAUCGAAUUCAUUCAUAACUUGGCAAAUUUAUAUAUAGUUUGUAUGGCAAAUUCACUUACACAUUAUGUUUCCACAACAUGGCAAAUUUUGUAUAUUUCAAUCUUCAUAAUAUCCACAUGGCGACGGGCUGGCGUAAUGGGCUGCACCGGUUCAGAUGACCGUGAGAGGGAGGCUGCCUGGACGGGUACGCGGCGGCGACCAAUUGAAUGGCGCGACGCACGGCCUCUAGGCGCGCCUUGUGUGAUGGCUGGCCAUGCAGUCUUGCAGUAGAGCGGGAAUCGAGCGGGCGGCUAGCUCAUCGUUUCUGUUGUUGGGAAGGUGACGGAUGCGGCCGCUGCGAUCCGCCGGGUGACGUCUCCCGUGCGAAUUCGGUUGAGUUUAUUCUGCUUAGCAACUGAAUUGAAUGAACGAAGAGGAACAGGAGACCUUUGCAACAAAGCGGGUCAAGAAGAGAGACUUACUGCUCGCCGAGGAAGAGGAAGAGGUCAUCGUCGAAGAGCUCGGCGGCGAAGACCUCGCACUGGCCGGCGCUGAGCCGCAGGGCGGCGCGCACAAGAUUGGUGCGGACGGCCUGCCAGCCGAAGGGCGGAACGGCCGGCAGGUCGCGCGCGUCGAUGCAGCGCCACAGCUCGGGCUCGUGCCGCGCGACGCGGCGCCAGGAGCGGCACACCGCCGCGGCGCCUCCGAGCAGGAGCUCCACCUGGUCCAGCUUACGGAGGAUGCACGAGAUCGCGUCCUGGGGAAGCUCCGCCCAGUCCCUGUCCCACGGCACGGGCAUGUUGUUGAACACCGUGACGUGCCACGUCCGGUCCCUCCUCCUGCUGGCUCGUCCCUUCCGACCCCGCGGUCUGGCCGCUGCCGCCGGCGGCGGCGGGUGGAGCGAUGGCGGCUGCAUCGGGAUCGCGAUGCGGAGCGUUAACGAGGCGAGUUUUGUUUUUAUGGGCUGAGAUAAGCGUAGGUCGGUGCCUUGAUUUUUCUUUUUCUUUCGCAUAAGACCUCAGCCUGUUGAGGUCUCUCACUUUGCACUAUGUAUAUGUGUAUUUUUGGGAUUAAACCCUGUGCGCUAACUAUCAUUCAAAACAUAAUA